rnacentral:hammerhead_ribozyme from 1 species
AUCCAACUGAAGAGUUCCAAAUAAGACGGAACUAGCGUCCCGGAU